UCCCUGGUGGCUUAGAUAGUAAAGCGUCUGCCUGCAAUGCAGGAGACCCAGGUUCGAUCCCUGGGUCGGGAU
rnacentral:tRNA from 1 species